ACACACACACACACAUGCAAAAUAUACUUGUUUUCAAGUAAAUUUAUUGGGCCCACUUACUUUUUCUUUGGCCCACCCACAAAUGAGUUUCUGGCUACGCUAAUGGUGACAUAUGACAGACUUCUCUGAGCUCCGCAGCCAUUACACUUUUCAUCUCGCGCACCCCCUAGCGGCAGCUCUCGCACCCCCAGGGGUGCGCGCACCACACUCAGGCAAUCCCUGAGCUAGAGGAACAACAACUGUUAUUAGAGCACAGCGAGAAUGAUGAAGGAAGAGGUGUCGGUGGAGUGUCCGUCCAUUGCAUUGUCAACCAUCACGCUGUUUGCAUUUUUUAAGGGAAGCUAUGUCGUGCCGAAAACGACGUUGGGUUGUUUGGCUGACCAAUAACAGACGUCCAGCAUACAACGCGGCCGUCGGAUGUUUAGAAAAUAUAGCUCGACUUCAACCGACAGUCCAACAGUGUUGGAUUGCCCAUACGAUGUCGCAUCAUGGCGAUCCAACAGAUCCGGCAUGCUGGAGCAGUGCCAGUAUGAAUCAGUCUUGAUGCCGACGUUAAUUCAUAGGAAUUUGUCCUGCAGAAACUUUUUGUUAGUGAAAACCAGCCAAAUUCAGUUGGAAGCUUUUAGCUAUCUGCUGCUAAAAUAUACAAAUAAAAACAAACUGCUGCUGCUGAGACAAUCACUGCUGCCACAGCAACCAUAGGGUGUGUGUGAGUGUGUGUGUCCAUUCACAUAUGUGAACUGAGCCGUUACUCAGGAAUGCAGCUGUUGUUGUGAGAGGUCAAAGGUCAGGCCGCUGAGGUGAAAACUCUUCAGGUGGAAACAGGAAGCUGCCGACCAAUGGUUACCAUGGCAACCGAAGUUUAUGAGUGCUGGCUGAUAAAACUUCAACCAAACAAAGUAGAAAUAUUCACGUGAAACUUCACAAUAAAAGCAUCACGCUGACGAGGGGGCUGCAUUCCAUAUCUGCAGCUACACAUUCUUGUUCCUGCUGAGGAUUCUUCUCACUGGAAUGCUGCAUCAGUCUGAUUCCAGGAUCUGCAUCUGGAGCCCUCAGCAGACCUCCAGGUGUGCUCUGAUGUUCCCUCAGACGCAGUAUUAGAAUCCACCCAGCUCCUAAGGAAACUCUGAUUCCUCCCAGCUGGAGGGGAAACAUCCACCAACGUUUCUCCUCCUGAGUUUACAAAACUCAGCUUGUGGUCGAUGCCUUCAGCUGUAUUCAGAUGGCUUCCUGAACAGCCUCUGUUUGAAGAAGUGGAGUCUACAUCCUUCAGAUGAGCUAACGACUAGUCUGAGUGCAGCCAAAGUGUGUUACAGCCAUGUCCCCGGGGUUCAAGUGACAUCAUGGCACAGAUCUUCACACCUGGAUUAGGAGUUACCUCAGCAGCUGCUGGAGACACUGACAGAAGUCCAUGUGGAUGUGGACUUAUGAUGGGACUGAUGCAGGAAAAAAUGUGUGUGUGUGUGUGUGUGUGUUUGAUUGUGUGUGUGUGUGUGUGUGUGUUUGUGUUUGCAGUAUGCAUUUACACAGGUUGUUAAACACCUAUUUUACUUACAGUAGGUAAACCUAAACUCAGCAACUAUUUAUUCACCACAAACCUCCAGCUGAUUAAUGCAGAAAAUACUGAAACACUAAAAAUGGAAAAUUCCAAUAAAAAUGUUUAUUUAUUCUUGUUGAUAAUGAGAACACCA